rnacentral:rRNA from 1 species
AAGUUUGAUGGCGACCGGCGCACGGGUGAGUAACACGUAUCCAACCUGCCGAUGACUCGGGGAUAGCCUUUCGAAAGAAAGAUUAAUACCCGAUGGCAUAGUUCUUCCGCAUGGUAGAACUAUUAAAGAAUUUCGGUCAUCGAUGGGGAUGCGUUCCAUUAGGUUGUUGGCGGGGUAACGGCCCACCAAGCCUUCGAUGGAUAGGGGUUCUGAGGGGAAGGUCCCCCCACAUUGGAACUGAGACACGGUCCAAACUCCUACGGGAGGCAGCAUG